rnacentral:lncRNA from 1 species
AGGAUCUCUCACCCCGUCACUCAGGGUGGCGCAAUCACGACUCAUUGGCUCACUGCAGCCUAGACCUCCCAGCUGGAGCAAUUCUCCUGCCUCAGCCUUCUGAGUAGCUGGGACUACAGAGUGGUGAGUCAGAAGAGACGUCAGGCAGCAAGCGACUUGGGCCAUGGCCUCUGACCUAGACUUCUCACCUCCGGAGGUGCCCGAGCCCACUUUCCUGGAGAACCUGCUACGGUACGGACUCUUCCUGGGAGCCAUCUUCCAGCUCAUCUGUGUGCUGGCCAUCAUCGUACCCAUUCCCAAGUCCCACGAGGCGGAGGCUGAACCGUCUGAGCCCAGAAGUGCUGAGGUGACGAGGAAGCCCAAGGCUGCUGUUCCUUCUGUGAACAAGAGGCCCAAGAAAGAGACUAAGAAGAAGCGGUAGAAGAGGAGGCCUGAGGAGCUGGGCGGGCAGGGAGAGGGUCUUGGGGACAGCCCUCCUGGGAAUCUACAUUGUGUUCCCCCGCAUUCCAGGCUCAGGGUCUGAGGAGGCUGUGACGCCCUAUGACCGCAGAGAUCUAGACAGUCGUAACAGUCCCCAGGCUCCAGCUGGGCAAUCCACCACUUCCUCUUCCUUCUGCUUCUGUGACGGUUUAGAGUCAAGGGGGCUGAAACACACUGUGAGCAUAGACUGUAUUAGGUUUGUUCAGAAGCCGGGUCAGCUCACAGAGUCACAUUUUCUUGCUUAGUCAUGUGUCCCUCCUUGAGUUGCCCCCUCCUUGUGGGUUUACACUACAUUUGGGAGUCAUUGUCUAAUGCUGAC